CCAAGCUUGGAGUCGUUUUUGACCUGCCUAACGUCGGCCAUUUUUAUGCAGCGUCCAUGAACGUUAUACCUGAUGCAGUCGUUUUAAACGUUGGGGGUAGAAGAUUCCAGCUUCGAUAAAUUGGAAACUGCAAGGCGUCCAGACAAUCCUGAUGCCAGAAAAUCCUAUCAAAGGGUGCCAUCAAACUUUUUGGGAGCCGAUUGAAGGUUUCAGGAGUAUGAGUAAAAAAUAAUUUUCGUUUGAGAACGAAAAGCUUGGAGUCCUUCAUGGCCAAACGCCCGCCAUUUUGUCGUCUCGUCCGCGAGCGUUAUUCAUGGUACAAUCCGGUUACACGUUCAGGCUUCGACAAAUUGCAAGCUGCCAAGCAUCCAGAAAAUCCUAUCAAGGGGUGCAAUCGAUCAUUUUGGAAGCCGUUAUUCGCCUCCCCUCCCUCCAGUAUGAUGUUGUCAGUGAUCUACCCAGCUUUUUGUGCCAAUCGCCGAUCAUUACAAAGGGUAAUAUACCGGACCGAUGUCUCAUAUUGGUAUCAAUCAAGCAUUCAUUUGUUGGUUGGCGCCCGAUAUAUGAUAACUGAACAUGGACGUUAAGGAGGGGCUGGUAAAUGGCGCCUGUUGUUUUCUAAGGGCCGUUGAAAGAUCAGAAAGUAACGUGUUGUGUUUGAAAAGGAUUUGGCUGCAGUUCGAUCAAGAAGAUUAGAGGAAGGCGAUUCCAGUACAUACCAUUAGACAGAUGUACGCCCCAAAUUAAGACAAAAAAGGAAUUUUCGGACAUUUUUGUUGAAUGGUGUCAAUUCUCCGUCACUCCGGUCUCGGCGCUGGCCAUGCACAAAGCGCAGGGGGCAAUCUUUCAAACUGUCGUGGUUUGCUUGGACAAGCAGAUGUUAAAAAGUUCGUAUGUACGUGGCUUGCAGUAGUCGUGUUUCCAUAAGCCGAUCAUUUGGGAACAACCGCUGUCAACUGGUUUCUUUGGACCACGACCACCACCACCGAUCUUAAAUAAAACUGUAACACGAACACAACUAACCUUACCACCACCACCGUCGCAGCCAUUGACAUCGAACACAUCUUGGUUGAAUAUGGCAAGAUUGACCACAAACAAGACUACCAGGAAUUUUGUACGAACCUAAUGGAUAAAUUGAGACCGCAUUACAGAAACAAAAUUCAAGUUGACUAGUCCAGUAUGAUGACGCACAAUCAUGUUCAGCUUGCGAAGAGGGCUCGACUUAUACCUACUUUAGUCUUCAUUUUGAGCAACUUUUCAAUGGAGGAGAGGACUAUUUGGGAGUGCAGGCUGCAACCAAUGCCGCAACGAUGAAUUGAUCACGACUUUUAACGUCCUAAACGCCUGUCCCAAUCUGGUGCUGUGGUUCGUCAAUUAUCUUACUAAUGACCGAGUUGGAGUGAAACUUACACACAUUUUAAUCAUUUGGUUGGUGGAUGACGACUUUAAAGUGGACCAAUUACUAUGGCGUGCCAAACUUCUUGUUCCAAGGAAGAUGGAUCAAUGUUGAAAAGCUGGGUUGGUUAAUAUUGGCAGUGGAUACAGUAGUAGAUCAAUCCCUUACCACCAGUGUGCACAGGAAAGAUGUUAGAAAUGGUUAGAAUCUGGAAGUUAGGAAACCAACCAUACUUGAUUGUGGUUCCGUUUGGAUGCCGUGUAAUUUAUCCAAGGAGUAAUGUACCAGUUGAUGAAAGCCUUCCAACAUUGACGGCGGAAAUAAUUAUACAUUACACAACCCCACCUCUACAGCCUGUCCAUAAAAGGUGCCAGUACAGAUUUUUCUGUAUGCCACUGGGUUUGCCAGGUCUACAGUUCGCAAAGUGAGACCUCUUUCUCCAGGUUGUGCAGUGCAUCGUUCGUUCUACUGUUCAUGAUGCUUCGCAGGCAAGGCCGGAAUUCAUAAGGCUAAUGAUUCCAGAAGGGCAGCCUUAUAAAGGUAGGAUUUUUUCUCUUUUGCAUGGUGUAUUGCAUGUCAUAUUUUGUGUAAAGGGGGGAAAAGUGACUAGUGCAUAUGGUGACUAAAAAGAAGAUCGUCAACUGUAUUGAGCUAACCGAGAAAGUAGUAAGUGAGUUGUGACUAUCUUCUCAAUCUAUCAUCUUGGCGAUGUAAGAUUGACCUCAAUGAUUCUUUAAGUACCUAGUCCCUUUCGAAGUCUGCGUCAGUUUUCGUUAUAUUAACAAGCGAUUAUGUAUUCAUAGCCACAGUAAUGAUAAGACGUAAACUGACUGGUCGACGAACGAGACUAUGGAGAAGUAUUGUAGUCAAUUCUUUCGUUUCCAAGUGCCAUGGAUUUGAUGAUUGUUAUACCUCAUUUAUUAUUACAUGAAGAUUGGCUUAAUAGUUUUUAAAAAGAGGGUGAGUAGUUGACUUAAUAAAUAGUAUGUUCGUUUAUUGUUACUGGCGUGUGAUGCCAUAAGAUCAUAUUACAGUUCUUUAAUAAAUGAGCACACUCUUACAAUAAAUUAUUACAUUGUGUGUUUACGUUGUUUUGCUAAUUUCAUUGGUUAUUCACAGGGCCAAGUGAUCGGUCUACUCCCAGUAUCAGUUCUACACAAGCAACUCCGGUAGUGGAUCUUGAUUCAAGAUUAUCGUCAUCCCUGUUGAAUAAUUGUAUGGAUAUUGAAUACGAGAGAGAUUCGAGAAGGGCAGCUAUAUAAAGGUAGGAUUUUUCUUUUAUUAAUUUUAAGCAGUGGGGGAAAAGUGAAUAGUGUCUGGAGAUAUUUUCAACUGAUCGUACAUCGUAAGUAAAGUUUAGUUGUCUUCUUAUCUUGGUGACAUAAGAUUGAUUGCAAUGAUUCUUCAAAGGUAUCUUUGGCGGAAUCAAUCAAUUUGCAUCAUAUUAAUUUGUAGAAGUAUGAAUUCAUAAUUGUACUUUUUUUUAUGAAGCAAAACGAUUGUCUUUGCGAACAAACCUGUGCAGACACAUUGGAAUCAUGUCUUCCGUUCCCAAGUUGAGUGAUAGUCAACGCCCAAUUCUUAAAUCAAUUAUUUUCGUUUUUUCUUAUGAAUAUGCAUUAUGCACCUAAUACAUUUUCCUUACAGCACACCAUUUUGGAAGCAGUUCGUUUGACAGGGGUUUCCAAGGCGUAUGUCA